rnacentral:piRNA from 1 species
ACACUAGAGAGCCUGAGGCAGGU